CUGGAAGAGGUGCACUUUGCAAAAGUCAUCCGCCACGGCCACCACGCGCUCGUUGUGGGAACGGCACAGUCUUCUGGGACCUGCUUGCUUCUCCCAAGCAUAGCUUCUGCCUGUGUGCACCAGGCCAGCUCCACCUAACCCGUCGUCGGUCACCACCUGUGCAUCUAUCCGAUGGCCUCUCUGUUGGAGGUCCCCAAGUAUCUUCCAUCCCUGCGCCAGAAGCCCCCCAAGCAAAGCCCCCAGCCGCUCACAGUAAAGAAUCUCAUAGUCCCCGGAGUUGGACAUGAUGAAGUUGCCAUCCUUGGACCAGUCGAGAUGAGUGAUGAAGCUGGAGUGACCCUGGGGACAAGGGGCAAAGGUUUAA